AGCUCAAAGUUGGAACCUGGCUGCCCUAGGCAGUCCGGAUUGUAAACUAAAGAGCGUGAAUCCAGGCAAGCCGGUUGACCAAGUCCUUUGGAAUGAGGCGCCACUGAGGGUGAGAGCCCCGUAAGUCGACUGAGCAUUUGUCUUUUGUGCUUCGCGUUCAAAGAGUCAGGUUGUUUGGGAAUGCAGCCUAAAGCUGGUGGUAAAUCCCACCUAAAGCUAAAUACAGGCGAGAGACCGAUAGCGAACAAGUACCGUGAGGGAAAGAUGAAAAGAACUUUGAAAAGAGAGUUAAACAG
rnacentral:rRNA from 1 species